rnacentral:lncRNA from 1 species
CUAACUUGUUUGUCAGUCAGCAAAUAAUUAGUUUAAUCAUAUGAAACUUGACAGCGUCUGUUCAUUUAAAAUCAAAACAAAUCCACGUUCAAAAGGUCCCCGUAAAACGUUAUCAAAGGUACCAGGAUUAUAAUUUGAUACGGCAGACGAGCUUUUCGUCUACAUAAGACUCAUCAGUGACGCUUAUAUCAAAUAUUUAAGUACAAAGUUUAAGAGCAUUGAGAAUCCAAAAUUCCAAAAAGUUGUGACAAAUACGGCUAAGUCAUUCGAAAUAAAUAAAAAAAAAAAAAAAAAACAGCCAUUAAGGACACUAGAAGAAAGUGUUUUCAAGCUGGGUAACCAUUAAUUCAAAAGUAAAAAGAAAAAAUAACGGCUGAUUUAUACUAAACAUAAUUAACGGAAAAUAAAAAACUAAAUACAUCAAGACAGCAAUCAACACCAACUGAAUUAAAGGCAUUCAAAAGAGAGACGAAAGAUACCAGAGGGACAGUCAAACUCAUAAAUCGAAAAGAAAAAAAACUGACAAUGCCAUGGCUAAAAAUGAAAAAGACAAACAGACAAGCAAUAGUACACAUGACACAACAUAAAAACUAAAGAAUAAGCAACGCGAACCCCAC